GAGCUUGUUUCAGCAGCACAUAUACUAAAACUGAAGAAUACAAGGAAGAUUAGCAUGGCCUCUGCACAAGAAUGACAUGCAAAUUGAAGCGUUCCAUAUUUUU
ensembl:snRNA U6 U6 spliceosomal RNA